rfam:Triticum aestivum genome assembly, contig: Triticum_aestivum_CS42_TGACv1_scaffold_556734_7AL
AAAGUACUCCCUCCGUCCCAAAAUUCUUGUCUUAGAUUUGUCUAGAUACGGAUGUAUCAAUAAAUCCGUAUCUAGACAAAUCUAAGACAAGAAAUUUGGGACAGAGGGAGUAGUUG